rnacentral:rRNA from 1 species
UACAGCCGGAAACGGCUGCUAAUACCGAAUACGAUCUUUCGUCGCAUGACGGAAAAAGGAAGAAAAGGAAUGGCCUCUAUACAAAGCUAUCGCCGAAGGAGGGGUUUUGCGUCUGAUUAGCUGGUUGGAGGGGUAACGGCCCAACAAGGCGAUGAUCAGUAGCCGGUCUGAGAGGAUGAACGGCCACAUUGGGACUGAGACACGGCCCAGACUCCUACGGGAGGCAGCAGUGGGGAAUCUUCCGCAAUGGACGAAAGUCUGACGGAGCAACGCCGCGUGAGUGAAGAAGGUCUUCGGAUUGUAAAGCUCUGUUAUACGGGACGAAAAAAGACGGAUGCCAACAGUAUCCGUCCGUGACGGUACCGUAAGAGAAAGCCACGGGCUAACUACGUGCCAGCAGCCGCGGUAAAU